CGACUCUCCCACCCUUUGUGAACGUACCUCUGUUGCUUUGGCGGCUCCGGCCGCCAAAGGACCUCCAAACUCCAGUCAGUAAACGCAGACGUCUGAUAAACAAGUUAAUAAACUAAAACUUUCAACAACGGAUCUCUUGGUUCUGGCAUCGAUGAAGAACGCAGCGAAAUGCGAUAAGUAAUGUGAAUUGCAGAAUUCAGUGAAUCAUCGAAUCUUUGAACGCACAUUGCGCCCCUUGGUAUUCCGGGGGGCAUGCCUGUUCGAGCGUCAUUACAACCCUCAAGCUCUGCUUGGAAUUGGGCACCGUCCUCACUGCGGACGCGCCUCAAAGACCUCGGCGGUGGCUGUUCAGCCCUCAAGCGUAGUAGAAUACACCUCGCUUUGGAGUGGUUGGCGUCGCCCGCCGGACGAACCUUCUGAACUUUUCUCAAGGUUGACCUCGGAUCAGGUAGGGAUACCCG
rnacentral:rRNA from 1 species